rnacentral:rRNA from 1 species
UCGAACGGGGUAGCAAUACCCAGUGGCGAACGGCGGAGUAAUACGUGGACAACGUGCCCUAAAGACUGGGAUAGCCCGGGGAAACCCGGAGUAAUACCGGAUGUGGUGUUUUCAACACAUGUUGGCGACAUUAAAUGGUUUUUCGCUUUAGGAGCGGUUCACGGCCUAUCAGGUAGUUGGUGGGGUAAUGGCCUACCAAGCCGACGACGGGUAGCGGGUCUGAGAGGAUGGUCCGAUCGAGUGGGACUGAGACACGGCCCACACACCUACGGGUGGCAGCAGUUGGGAAUCUUGCACAAUGGGGGAAACCCCGAUGCAGCGACGCCGCGUGGAGGACGAAGGGUCUAGGCCUGUAAACUCCUUUUCUCGGGAAAGACUUAGGACGGUACCCGAGGAAUAAGCACCGGCUAACUACGUGCCAGCAGCCGCGGUAAGACGUAGGGUGCAAGCGUUG